CUGCCUUGGAUGUACGGAGUAGACCAUAACGCGGCCGCCGACCUCCACUUCCUUAUGGAACCGUGCCGCUUUCCUUGCCUCCUCCACCUUAUCCAAAACAUCUCCGUCUGGCCCGGUGUUGGCCUCCAUGGGCUUAUGCGUCGCGAGGCCGUGCAGGGAGGAGCAGCGGUGGGGCUUCGCCUCGCGUAGGAGGGAGCCAGGCUGAGGGGUGCGCCAUCGCUGGGAGGAGGCCGUCAAUCGCCGCCGAUACAGCCUUCUUGCGCGGCCCUGUUGCGGGAGUCCGCGCCACGAUAGGCCUCACGCUUGAGCAGGCUUCCCCGGUCCUCUGCGCGCCGCCGCCUAUGCGGCCCUAUCGCGGGGAGUCCGCUCUGCUGGGAGCCGCGGCUUUGCUGAGGUGAGGGCCACCGUGCGGCUCGCGCUGGAUUCGCGUCCGCCUGUUGCUUGAGGUCGCCCGCCUUCUCCUUAGGCUGAAUCGGCUGGGCCGCUACAAGCGAGCGGGCCAAGGCAGCGGCGGGGGGUACCGCAGUUCCUGGAGAGGAGGCCGCGGGCGGUGUAGGGAACGGUGUCCGCUGACGGUGCCGUAGGUCGUUGAUGCUUCCUGCUAGGACCGAUGUUGUCAGCUCCUGUCGCGAUUAAUUAAGCAACGUGAGUGUGCCACGAUGCAGUCAAUGUGCAGAGAAAGUACAUCUUGGUCCCACCGGUGGCUCCACAGAAGCCCACCCACACAAGUCGCAGCAGCUCCACGGUCAUAUGGAGCACAACAUGUGCAUGACGAAAAGUCCGAUGACCACCGGCGCUGGAACUCCAGCGUUGGAGUAAGCUAAUUCCUCUUCUCGAGCUCGCAGCUGCCUUUGAAAGCUGCAGGUUGGUUCUUCUGCAGUCAGGUCUGCGAGUCCGUGGCUCCGGCAUGAUCGUUUUCUAGGCUUUCCUUAAUUUUUCAGAUACUUCACAACUCAUAUUUGAAGAGCUUGACAAUUGCAAGCAUUUUCCCUCUGCAUAUUGCAAGGUAUUUGUGAUGUUCAACAUACAUGGCUGCAGAGUAGUAUGAUUUUGAUUGCUGUUGGAAAUCGCAAUCUCAUAAGCCACUUUGUUAUUCCUAACUUUGUAGUUGGCUUGCAAUUUUGCAUCUACCAGAACGAUAUGGUGUCCUCAUAUCACCACCUUAAACUUAAAAGCACGAAAAAAAGAUCAGGUUAUGUCAGCA